rnacentral:pre_miRNA from 1 species
CUCUCAAACUUCCUAAGCAACUCACCUUUGGGCUGAGACUAAACAGGGAAAGUUUGGGCCCCAAAGGACAGUUUUUUGAGAGAAGUUUCUAGCAA